AAACAGGUGUCAACCUUGGUUUCGUGGUAAAACACUUGGUAUAAUUCAUGCUCUGUUAUGGAAAGAUCUCAGGAUCUGUUGUUGGGUGACACUGAUUCUGGAGCACCGCUAAAAGACCUUUUUCACCAGCAACAUUGGCAGAAGGACUAAAAGGGGGGAAAAGUAGAUCCUUAUUCUAUAGCCUUUUAAAAUUUAUGGAAACAAUCAACAUACCUGAUAUUAUAUUCUCUUGGGCCCCAGCAGUUGUGAAAGCUGUCCUCCCAAAGGAUUGAAUAAGGAAGACAGAGAAAAAGGUCAAGGAACGAGGACUUUUUUUUUUUUUUUUUUCAAUGCUUAUUGCUUAGAAGUCUUAAUUUCACUUUCCUAACCUGCUAUGAUAGAACUACGGUGGGGAUGGGGUAUGAUUUUCUUUUGAGCUACUUGCUACAAGCAAUGUAAGAGGAAGUUGUUUUUCCAUUCUCAGUUCUAGAAAGUAUAAAUCAAAUGGGGAGAGUAAUUUUUAUUAUAUUUGUAUUAUUGUGGGAAUUUACUCUAUUUGUAAACCUACUGAAUUAGAUAUAAAAUGAAAAUGGUUUAGCUUUCUUUAUAAUAUAUUCUGCUCAGAGAAUAAGAAUGUGAUCUGAGUCCAUUUGAAAGACAUCAAUUACUAAGGGACAGCUUUAAAAAUAGUAAGCAAGGCUGACAAACUUCAGUGAAACCCUAACUUUGCUUCUUACUUUCUUCUAAUUCUGCUGGGUGAUCUAAAGAAUCUAUGACAAUCUGAAACAAACUAACAAACAAAAACCCCUUCAGGUUGCCUCAAUUACAAUCUAGCUAAGAAAUUCUGACAUCAAUAUGCCCUGAAGGGCUGCAGCAGAAGCAGUGGGGAAAUCACACUCCAAUGCAGUUGUUGUAAUGGCCAGCCACGGCAAGAACUGACAGUAAAGAGAGUCCAGAUUACUGAGAGAUAAAAAGAGAGGCUGUUUUCUUAUUAUCUGUCCUCAUACAUUCUACCGUGGCUCCCUCAACUCUGUAAAGAAUGACUCUCAGAAGAACCCUGACCCAAAAGAAUCUAAAAGAGAGGUCACAAACCCAAAUGCCAGCCAGAUUCAGAAGUUGUUCUGGCUGCUGUUGUCAUCUUUUCUGGCUGGCCGAGAUCUGAUGCAGCAGCCUCCAGAAAU